UGAGCAAUCUGCCCUUCACAUCGGAAUAACCAUUGGAAACGAUGGCUAAUACCGAAUAUGACUUCGGAUCGCAUGAUCUGAAGUGGAAAGCUCCGGUGGUGAAGGAUGAGCUCGCGGUCUAUCAGCUUGUUGGUGAGGUAAUAGCUCACCAAGGCGAUGACGGGUAGCCGGCCUGAGAGGGUGACCGGCCACACUGGGACUGAGACACCGGCA
rnacentral:rRNA from 1 species